rnacentral:rRNA from 1 species
UGCAGUCGAACGGCAGCACGGAGCUUGCUCUGGUGGCGAGUGGCGAACGGGUGAGUAAUAUAUCGGAACGUACCCUGGAGUGGGGGAUAACGUAGCGAAAGUUACGCUAAUACCGCAUACGAUCUACGGAUGAAAGUGGGGGAUCGCAAGACCUCAUGCUCGUGGAGCGGCCGAUAUCUGAUUAGCUAGUUGGUAGGGUAAAAGCCUACCAAGGCAUCGAUCAGUAGCUGGUCUGAGAGGACGUCCAGCCACACUGGAACUGAGACACGGUCCAGACUCCUACGGGAGGCAGCAGUGGGGAAUUUUGGACAAUGGGCGAAAGCCUGAUCCAGCAAUGCCGCGUGAGUGAAGAAGGCCUUCGGGUUGUAAAGCUCUUUUGUCAGGGAAGAAACGGUGAGGGCUAAUAUCCCUUGCUAAUGACGGUACCUGAAGAAUAAGCACCGGCUAACUACGUGCCAGCAGCCGCGGUAAUACGUAGGGUGCAAGCGUUAAUCGGAAUUACUGGGCGUAAAGCGUGCGCAGGCGGUUUUGUAAGUCUGAUGUGAAAUCCCCGGGCUCAACCUGGGAAUUGCAUUGGAGACUGCAAGGCUAGAAUCUGGCAGAGGGGGUAGAAUUCCACGUGUAGCAGUGAAAUGCGUAGAUAUGUGGAGGAACACCGAUGGCGAAGCAGCCCCCUGGGUCAAGAUGACGCUCAUGCACGAAAGCGUGGGGAGCAAACA